rnacentral:rRNA from 1 species
GACGAACGCUGGCGGCGUGCUUAACACAUGCAAGUCGAACGGAAAGGCCCUGCUUUUGUGGGGUGCUCGAGUGGCGAACGGGUGAGUAACACGUGAGUAACCUGCCCUUGACUUUGGGAUAACUUCAGGAAACUGGGGCUAAUACCGGAUAGGAGCUCCUGCUGCAUGGUGGGGGUUGGAAAGUUUCGGCGGUUGGGGAUGGACUCGCGGCUUAUCAGCUUGUUGGUGGGGUAGUGGCUUACCAAGGCUUUGACGGGUAGCCGGCCUGAGAGGGUGACCGGCCACAUUGGGACUGAGAUACGGCCCAGACUCCUACGGGAGGCAGCAGUGAGAAAUAUUGCACAAUGGGCGGAAGCCUGAUGCAGCAACGCCGCGUGCGGGAUGACGGCCUUCGGGUUGUAAACCGCUUUCGCCUGUGACGAAGCGUGAGUGACGGUAAUGGGUAAAGAAGCACCGGCUAACUACGUG